UAAGGAAUAUUGGUCAAUGGACGGAAGUCUGAACCAGCCAUGCCGCGUGCAGGAAGACGGCCCUAUGGGUUGUAAACUGCUUUUGCAGGGGAAUAAACCUCUCUACGUGUAGAGAGUUGAAUGUACUCUGAGAAUAAGGAUCGGCUAACUCCGUGCCAGCAGCCGCGGUAAUACGGAGGAUCCGAGCGUUAUCCGGAUUUAUUGGGUUUAAAGGGUGCGUAGGUGGCCUGUUAAGUCAGGGGUGAAAGACGGUAGCUCAACUAUCGCAGUGCCCUUGAUACUGAUGGGCUUGAAUAAACUAGAGGUAGGCGGAAUGUGACAAGUAGCGGUGAAAUGCAUAGAUAUGUCACAGAACACCAAUUGCGAAGGCAGCUUACUAUGGUUUUAUUGACACUGAGGCACGAAAGCGUGGGGAUCAAACA
rnacentral:rRNA from 1 species